rnacentral:rRNA from 1 species
UGCAGUCGAACGAUAGAUAGAGGCUUGCUUCUAUCGAAAGUGGCGCACGGGUGCGUAACGCGUAUGCAACCUACCUUCAUCUGGGGGAUAGCCCGGAGAAAUCCGGAUUAAUACCGCAUAAAAUCACAGCACUGCAUAGUGCAAUGAUCAAACAUUUAUGGGAAGAAGAUGGGCAUGCGUGUCAUUAGCUAGUUGGCGGGGUAACGGCCCACCAAGGCGACGAUGACUAGGGGAUCUGAGAGGAUGGCCCCCCACACUGGUACUGAGACACGGACCAGACUCCAACGGGAGGCAGCAGUAAGGAAUAUUGGUCAAUGGAGGCAACUCUGAACCAGCCAUGCCGCGUGCAGGAAGACUGCCCUAUGGGUUGUAAACUGCUUUUAUCCGGGAAUAAACCUGCUUACGUGUAAGUAGCUGAAUGUACCGGAAGAAUAAGGAUCGGCUAACUCCGUGCCAGCAGCCGCGGUAAUACGGAGGAUCCAAGCGUUAUCCGGAUUUAUUGGGUUUAAAGGGUGCGUAGGCGGCCUGUUAAGUCAGGGGUGAAAGACGGUAGCUCAACUAUCGCAGUGCCCUUGAUACUGAUGGGCUUGAAUGGACUAGAGGUAGGCGGAAUGAGACAAGUAGCGGUGAAAUGCAUAGAUAUGUCUCAGAACACCGAUUGCGAAGGCAGCUUACUAUGGUCUUAUUGACGCUGAGGCACGAAAGCGUGGGGAUCAAACAGGAUUAGAUACCCUGGUAGUCCACGCCCUAAACGAUGAACACUCGCUGUUGGCGAUACACAGUCAGCGGCUAAGCGAAAG